AUGGCGACGGACAUGUUGACCAUAUACCUGCACUAUGAAGAUACAAAUCAGGAAGCCAAAAUUUUACAAAGAUCGAUUAUGAAACAUGAUGUCUCGUAUUAUGACUUAAUGUUGAUGACCGAACAAGUUGGCUUUCAGGCAAUUGACUUUUUGUACUAUGCAAAAAAAACCCGUCUAGGCAGCUCCUACUUAGUUCACAUUUAUGAUGAAGGUCUUGUGAUGAAAAUGUUGUCUGAACCUGAGAUUGUGAAAGUUGUCCAUCUGUAUGUGUCUAAGGAGAAGACUGACGAUCAUAUUGCUCUGCCUAGCAAGCAAAUUGAUAUUGCUCCAUCUAACCAUCCAACCGAGAGUGUUCUCUUACAGGACGUGGUGUCUCUGCUGAAGGGGCAGGGCAACUUACUAUGCAAGGGCCGCAAAGACCAUUACGUAGGUCAAAAAGGUUGA
rnacentral:rRNA from 1 species